CUGUCAAUUCUGUAGGCCACAG
rnacentral:miRNA from 1 species